rnacentral:lncRNA from 1 species
GGGAACGUCACAAUGACAGGAGGGUUUGACUCCAUGAUUUUAUUACAACCAUCACUUACCUGCAGGAGACGGAAGCCAGGGAGGGACACUGGAACCCCAGUAGCCACUGCCAAGGAAGCAGUUGUGUCAUUAGUUUAACUUUUGGAAGCCCGAAGACACAAAUAUGCUGCCCAUCAGAUGGCACAGGCCACCAGAACCAUAGAAGGGAGAAGAGGGCAGGGAGGAGAUGAAAUCAUCUUCAGAAUCAUGGGGAACCACCUUCUCCCUGCUCUUCUCACCCAUCCCCCUCUGGAAAGAGCCUGAAAACAUCAAAGAUGGAGAGAGCCACCAAGGAAUGGAACCUCAGAAGUGUGGCAGCAGAUGGCAGGUUCUGUGAAGAGCCAGCACAGGGAUGUACACACCAGAAAACACCACAAGGAGUCAUAGGGUCGCUGAGUGGAGAUGGACAGGGAGGAAGGGGUGACUGGAGAAGCUUGGAACAAUCCUGUGGGAUUUAG